rnacentral:rRNA from 1 species
GACGAACGCUGGCGGCGUGCCUAAUACAUGCAAGUUGAGCGCUGAAGGUUGGUACUUGUACCAACUGGAUGAGCAGCGAACGGGUGAGUAACGCGUGGGGAAUCUGCCUUUGAGCGGGGGACAACAUUUGGAAACGAAUGCUAAUACCGCAUAAAAACUUUAAACACAAGUUUUAAGUUUGAAAGAUGCAAUUGCAUCACUCAAAGAUGAUCCCGCGUUGUAUUAGCUAGUUGGUGAGGUAAAGGCUCACCAAGGCGAUGAUACAUAGCCGACCUGAGAGGGUGAUCGGCCACAUUGGGACUGAGACACGGCCCAAACUCCUACGGGAGGCAGCAGUAGGGAAGCUUCGGCAAUGGACGAAAGUCUGACCGAGCAACGCCGCGGGAGUGAAGAAGGGUUUCGGAUCGUAAAACUCGGUUGGUAGAGAAGAACGUUGGUGAGAGUGGAAAGCUCAUCAAGUGACGGUAACUACCCAGAAAGGGACGGCUAACUACGUG